AUUUAAAUAGUUUAAUGAAAAUGCUAGUUUGUGGGGCUAGAGUUAUAUAUAAUAAUAUUUUAGAU
rnacentral:tRNA from 1 species